GUCCACGCCGUAAACGAUGGAUGCUAGCCGUUGGUAAGCAUGCUUAUCAGUGGCGCAGCUAACGCAUUAAGCAUCCCGCCUGGGGAGUACGGCCGCAAGGUUGAAACUCAAAGGAAUUGACGGGGCCCGCACAAGCGGUGGAGCAUGUGGUUUAAUUCGACGCAACGCGCAGAACCUUACCAGGCCUUGACAUCCCGUGCUAAGCUCAGAGAUGAGCCGUCCCCGCAAGGGGCGCGGAGACAGGUGCUGCAUGGCUGUCGU
rnacentral:rRNA from 1 species